GGAAGGAUCAUUAUCGAAAGCUUCGGCUUCUUUGAUGCCCUUUAACCCUUAUGUUGACUUUCCCUUUGUUGCUUCCACUAGUAUAUGCCUCUUUAGGGGGGGAGAGCUGGUGGAUGGCCUAUCUAAAUUACCAUAUUUGAAGUUAUGUACAAGUCUGAAGUAGUUACUUUAAUUACCUUAAAACUUUCAACAACGGAUCUCUUGGCUCCUGCAUCGAUGAAGAACGCAGCGAAAUGCGAUAAUUAAUGUGAAUUGCAGAAUUCCGUGAAUCAUCGAGUCUUUGAACGCACAUUGCGCCCUAUAGUAUUCUAUAGGGCAUGCCCGUCUCAGCGUCAGCAGAACCUAUCAAGCUCUGUCUUUGCUUAGCCAGCUGCUUGGAUUAUAUGAGGGAAGUGGAUAGCUAGCGAGCGCUGCCUCUGCUCCCUUGAAACCUAUAGGUCGUAUAGUGCUAUUGCUACUGCUAAACGUAAUAAGCACUUAUUCGUUUGCGAGGCAUAUGCCAGCCGGCCCCUGAACCCACGCCUGCGUGUGCUCCAUUCAUUACUUGACCUGAGAUCGGGUAGGGAUACCCGCUGAACUUAAGCAUAUCAAUAAGCGGAGGAAAAGAAACCAACAGGGAUUGCCUUAGUAACGGCGAGUGAAGCGGCAAUAGCUCAGAUUUGAAAUCUGGCACCUCUGGUGUCCGAGUUGUAAUCUGUAGAGGGGUGUUCAGGCAUGGCUCUGGCCCAAGUUCCUUGGAACAGGACGUCAUGGAGGGUGAGAAUCCCGUAAAUAGCCCUUGUCCUAUGCCUAUGUGAACCUCCUUCGACGAGUCGAGUUGUUUGGGAAUGCAGCUCUAAAUGGGUGGUAUAUUUCAUCUAAAGCUAAAUACAGGCAGGAGACCGAUAGCGCACAAGUAGAGUGAUCGAAAGAUGAAAAGAACUUUGGAAAGAGAGUUAAAUAGUACGUGAAAUUGUUGAAAGGGAAGCACUUGCGUCUAGACUUGCCUGCAGCUGAUCAACUGCCAUUUUUUGGUAGUGCACUCGGCUGUUAGCAGGCCAGCAUCAGUUAGGGCGGUGGGAAAAAGGUAUAGGCAAUGUGACUCCUGUAUGGGAGUGUUAUAGGCCUAUACGCAAUGCUACCUGCCUUGACUGAGGGUUGCGCUUCGGCGAGGAUGCUGGCUUAAUAGCCGUAAGUGACCCGUCUUGAAACACGGACCAAGGAGUCUAACAGCUGUGCGAGUGUUUGGGUGUAAAACCCUCUUGCGUAAUGAAAGUAAAUGAAGGUGGGAACCGCAAGGUGCACCAUCGACCGAUCCUGAUGUCUUCGGAUGGAUUUGAGUAGGAGCAUAGCUGUUGGGACCCGAAAGAUGGUGAACUAUGCCUGAAUAGGGUGAAGCCAGAGGAAACUCUGGUGGAGGCUCGCAGCGGUUCUGACGUGCAAAUCGAUCGUCAAAUUUGGGUAUAGGGGCGAAAGACUAAUCGAACCAUCUAGUAGCUGGUUCCGGC
rnacentral:misc_RNA from 1 species